AGCGUUGCUAAGGCCGAUGGCGACCGGCGCACGGGUGAGUAACACGUAUCCAACCUGCCGUCUACUCUUGGACAGCCUUCUGAAAGGAAGAUUAAUACAAGAUGGCAUCAUGAGUCCGCAUGUUCACAUGAUUAAAGGUAUUCCGGUAGACGAUGGGGAUGCGUUCCAUUAGAUAGUAGGCGGGGUAACGGCCCACCUAGUCUUCGAUGGAUAGGGGUUCUGAGAGGAAGGUCCCCCACAUUGGAACUGAGACACGGUCCAAACUCCUACGGGAGGCAGCAGUGAGGAAUAUUGGUCAAUGGGCGAGAGCCUGAACCAGCCAAGUAGCGUGAAGGAUGACUGCCCUAUGGGUUGUAAACUUCUUUUAUAAAGGAAUAAAGUCGGGUAUGGAUACCCGUUUGCAUGUACUUUAUGAAUAAGGAUCGGCUAACUCCGUGCCAGCAGCCGCGGUAAUACGGAGGAUCCGAGCGUUAUCCGGAUUUAUUGGGUUUAAAGGGAGCGUAGAUGGAUGUUUAAGUCAGUUGUGAAAGUUUGCGGCUCAACCGUAAAAUUGCAGUUGAUACUGGAUAUCUUGACUGCAGUUGAGGCAGGCGGAAUUCGUGGUGUAGCGGUGAAAUGCUUAGAUAUCACGAAGAACUCCGAUUGCGAAGGCAGCCUGCUAAGCUGCAACUGACAUUGAGGCUCGAAAGUGUGGGUAUCAAACAGGAUUAGAUACCCUGGUAGUCCACACGGUAAACGAUGAAUACUCGCUGUUUGCGAUAUACAGCAAGCGGCCAAGCGAAAGCGUUAAGUAUUCCACCUGGGGAGUACGCCGGCAACGGUGAAACUCAAAGGAAUUGACGGGGGCCCGCACAAGCGGAGGAACAUGUGGUUUAAUUCGAUGAUACGCGAGGAACCUUACCCGGGCUUAAAUUGCAGAUGAAUUACGGUGAAAGCCGUAAGCCGCAAGGCAUCUGUGAAGGUGCUGCAUGGUUGUCGUCAGCUCGUGCCGUGAGGUGUCGGCUUAAGUGCCAUAACGAGCGCAACCCUUGUUGUCAGUUACUAACAGGUUCCGCUGAGGACUCUGACAAGACUGCCAUCGUAAGAUGUGAGGAAGGUGGGGAUGACGUCAAAUCAGCACGGCCCUUACGUCCGGGGCUACACACGUGUUACAAUGGGGGGUACAGAGGGCCGCUACCACGCGAGUGGAUGCCAAUCCCCAAAACCUCUCUCAGUUCGGACUGGAGUCUGCAACCCGACUCCACGAAGCUGGAUUCGCUAGUAAUCGCGCAUCAGCCACGGCGCGGUGAAUACGUUCCCGGGCCUUGCACACACCGCCC
rnacentral:rRNA from 1 species